rnacentral:lncRNA from 1 species
GCAGUGGGCCAGAUUGGAGGAGAGGGGGCUGAAAUAGCAGUGGGCCAGGUUGGAGGAGAGGUUACUGAAAUAGCAGUGGGCCAGAUUGGAGGAGAGGUUACUGAAAUAGCAGUGGGCCAGAUUGGAGGAGAGGGUGCUUAAAUGGCAGUGGGCCAGAUUGGAGGAGAGGGAGCUGAAAUGGCAGUGGGCCAGAUUGGAGGAGAGGUUACUGAAAUAGCAGUGGGCCAGAUUGGAGGCGAGGAUGCUGAAAUAGCAGUGGGCCAGAUUGGAGGAGAGGGUGCUGAAAUAGCAGUGGGCCAGAUUGGAGGAGAGGGAGCUGAAAUAGCAGUGGGCCAGAUUGGAGGAGAGGGAGCUGAAAUGGCAGUGGGCCAGAUUGGAGGAAAGGGUGCUGAAAUAGCAGUGGGCCAGAUUGGAGGAGAGGGAGCUGAAAUGGCAGUGGGCCAGAUUGGAGGAGAGGGAGCUGAAAUGGCAGUGGGCCAGAUUGGAGGAGAGGGGGCUGAAAUAGCAGUGGGCCAGAUUGGAGGAGAGGGAGCUGAAAUGGCAGUGGGCCAGAUUGGAGGAGAGGGAGCUGAAAUAGCAGUGGGCCAGAUUGGAGGAGAGGGAGCUGAAAUAGCAGUGGGCCAGAUUGGAGGAGAGGGUGCUGAAAUAGCUGUGGGCCAGAUUGGAAGCCAUUCUGCAGCUGUAUACAGUAGGCAUUCUGGAAGCAGCGGCCCAGACUUCGUCAAUAUAGCUUAAUUUAACCAGGUUUGCCUGAUAAGAUCUUGAUAGGAAGCAUUCCCUCCCAGCCACUCAGGUCCAUCACUGUGUGGUGGAAAAGACCUUGAG